AACGAACGCUGGCGGCAGGCUUAACACAUGCAAGUCGAACGCCCCGCAAGGGGAGUGGCAGACGGGUGAGUAACGCGUGGGAAUCUACCUAGUUCUACGGAACAACAGUUGGAAACGACUGCUAAUACCGUAUACGCCCUAUGGGGGAAAGAUUUAUCGGAAUUAGAUGAGCCCGCGUAAGAUUAGCUAGUUGGUGGGGUAAUGGCCUACCAAGGCGACGAUCUUUAGCUGGUCUGAGAGGAUGAUCAGCCACACUGGGACUGAGACACGGCCCAGACUCCUACGGGAGGCAGCAGUGGGGAAUAUUGGACAAUGGGCGCAAGCCUGAUCCAGCCAUGCCGCGUGAGUGAUGAAGGGCUUAGGGUUGUAAAGCUCUUUCAGUAGGGAAGAUAAUGACGGUACCUACAGAAGAAGCCCCGGCUAACUUCGUGCCAGCCGCCGCCGUAA
rnacentral:rRNA from 1 species